CUUAUUCUUUGCAAAGUGUGCUCUUCUGUAUAAGGAGCUCCUGCCCAAAGCAGAUCUACCUGGACCUGGUUGAGCUCCUAGGGAAGUGAUAGCGAGCCUCCCGCCCUUCCUCUCACACCUGGGAUUUGACACCAUGGCCUCACCUGCAUUGUCAUUCCAGAAUGUUCUUGGAGACUCUGAAGUAGGAGCUGGGGAUAGGUCCCUGUCUUUGUUGUGUUGAUGGUCUGUGGAAGAGACAAAGAGGGAAAUGAACAACCAGACUACAGAGUGUGACAACCACCACAUUGAGCUGUCUGAGCACAGUGAAGGGUGACCCUAUCAGAGGCAAAGAAUGUCUAAGAAGGCUCCCUAGAAGAAGCAGCAUCUUCACUGAGGCCCGAAAGCUGAGUUGGAUUGAACUGGGUAAAGGAUGGGUGGAGGGAUGAUGUUCAAGGAUGAUGGAGCUGCCUGUACAAAAGCCCACAGGGAUCCUCGCAUAGAACAGCAGUGAAUGCAGCCACUGGCUGAGCCUGGAAGGCCCAUUAGAUGCCAAUUCUUAGACUUUUUCUUCCCGCAACCAGAAAAUAUGCCCAGGCAUUCUGUUGGUUUUCCCAGGCUCCCCUGAGAUCCCAUAGCCCUGCCCUCUCUUCCUCUGAUGGAAAUGCUGCCAGGGUGGUGUCUGCGGUCUCAUUUCUCACCCCUGCAUCGAGCUGUGGUGGAUGUCUCAGUGCACUCUGCAUGCAUGCUCCCUCCCCCUGUGGCGCUUGAGGAGCGAGCAGCCUGAAACUCAGGCUCCUCAUGGGAGCACAGGGGUUGAUCCUUCUGGGUGGAGGCAGGAGAGAGUGGUGCUGACACCAAGAAAGUCUCCUAAAUACCAAGCUGCCCUACAAAGCAAUGCCACGUGUGUGCUGUCCCUGACUGACUGGAA
rnacentral:lncRNA from 1 species